GACCGAGAACUGAGGGGACAGGUCUCCCCCUUCAGAUCCGGCAGCGGUAAUACCGCCAUAUCCAAGAACAACGAAGGAG
rfam:Pelobacter sp. SFB93, complete genome.